GUUUUGGAUCCGCCUACGCCUGCUGGCUCUGCUGAUUACUACGUUACUAUGUGCCCCAUAUACAAUUAAACAUAUGCUGCUCGUAUACCCGCACAAUGUUAAACUUUCAAGGUGCCCGAUGCCAUUUUCAAAAAUGGUUCUGUAAGCUUUCUGAGAUUGAACUCUACUCGCCGGAACGUUUCAAAGCUGAACUUUGAUUUGCCAUUCAAUUACGUUUGAGAGGAGAGCAAGGGUUCACCGAGCAUUCACCAAGGAGUGGCCAGGGACUGGGGCUUGUGUACUCA